rnacentral:rRNA from 1 species
AGAGUUUGAUCAUGGCUCAGGAUGAACGCUAGCGGCGGGCUUAAUACAUGCAAGUCGAACGGUGUAGCAAUACAUAGUGGCGGACGGGUGCGGAACACGUAUGCAACCUACCUGGGGGCGGGGGACAACGGGAAGAAAUUCCCGCUAAUACCGCAUGAGACAACUGAACCGCAUGGUUUAAUUGUAAAAGCCUUCGGGCACCUUUAGAUGGGCAUGCGUCCGAUUAGCUGGUUGGCGGGGUAACGGCCCACCAAGGCGACGAUCGGUAGCUGGUCUGAGAGGAUGAUCAGCCACACUGGCACUGAGACACGGGCCAGACUCCUACGGGAGGCAGCAGUAGGGAAUAUUGGGCAAUGGGCGAAAGCCUGACCCAGCCACGCCGCGUGCAGGAUGAAGGUCCAUAGGAUUGUAAACUGCUUUGGCAGGGGAUUAAACCCGUUAGAACUUAACGGAUUGAAGGUACCCUGAGAACAAGCACCGGCAAACUACGUGCCAGCAGCCGCGGUAAUUC